CGAUUGGCGACGUGUUGGCUCAGUAGCCAUCGUCAUCGUCCUCAAGGAUUAUAGAUCGGAGUUCAUCCCCGCCGCCGGAUAUCUAUUCCUCAAAGCUCUUCAUAAAUGAGUUGAGGUUCUUAGUCACUAGAACGGGAUCAGUCUCUCCGACCCGACGUUCUCCACUUCUCGUUCCGGCGAUUCUGAUGGUGGUAGGGCAAAGUACAAGCUCGUAUCCCAGGCCAUGGUGCAUGUUAGCCAAUGGCCCUACGACGGCGAUGGCGUAUGUAUGCUCUGCAAGGCGAAGCCAUCUGACGAGGAGGGGCUGACCCUCAAGACC
rnacentral:lncRNA from 1 species